rnacentral:rRNA from 1 species
UACGUAGGGGGCAAGCGUUGUCCGGAUUUAUUGGGCGUAAAGAGCGUGUAGGCGGUUUGGUAGGUCCGCUGUGAAAACUCGAGGCUCAACCUCGAGACGCCGGUGGAAACCAUCAGACUAGAGUCCGGAAGAGGAGAGUGGAAUUCCUGGUGUAGCGGUGAAAUGCGCAGAUAUCAGGAAGAACACCCGUGGCUAAGGCGGCUCUCUAGUACGGUACUGACGCUGCGACGCGAAAGCGUGGGGAGCGAACAGG